rnacentral:rRNA from 1 species
AGAGUUUGAUCCUGGCUCAGGACAAACGCUGGCGGCGUGCCUAAAACAUGCAAGUCGAACGGCUCUUUCGGGAGCAGUGGCGGACGGCUGAGUAACACGUAGGUGACCUACCCUUGAGUGGGGAAUAACGGUCCGAAAGGAUCGCUAAUACCGCAUACGACCAUUCGGUUUAGGCCGGAUGAGGAAAGCCGCAAGGCGCUCGUGGAUGGGCCUGCGUCCGAUUAGCUAGUUGGUGGGGUAACGGCCUACCAAGGCGACGAUCGGUAGCUGGUCUAAGAGGAUGAUCAGCCAGACUGGGACUGUGACACGGCCCAGACUCCUACGGGAGGCAGCAGUUAGGAAUCUUGGGCAAUGGGCGCAAGCCUGACCCAGCAACGCCGCGUGGGUGACGAAGGCCUUCGGGUCGUAAAGCCCUUUUACACGGGAAGAUGAUGACGGUACCGUGUGAAUAAGCCCCGGCUAACUACGUGCCAGCAGCCGCGGUAAUACGUAGGGGGCGAGCGUUGUCCGGAUUUAUUGGGCGUAAAAGGCUUGUAGGUGGCCACGCGAAGUCGGAUGUGAAAUCUCCCGGCUCAACUGGGAGGGGUCAUUCGAUACUGGCGGGCUCGAGGCCGGUAGGGGGAGGCGGAAUUCCGGGUGUAGUGGUGGAAUGCGUAGAUAUCCGGAGGAACACCAGUGGCGAAGGCGGCUUCCUGGACCGGUUCUGACACUGAGGAGCGAAAGCGUGGGGAGCGAUCCGGAUUAGAUACCCGGGUAGUCCACGCCGUAAACGUUGGGCACUAGAUGUCGGGGGUAUCGACCCCUCCGGUGUCGCAGCUAACGCAUUAAGUGCCCUGCCUGGGGAGUACGGCCGCAAGGCUAAAACUCAAAGGAAUUGACGGGGGCCCGCACAAGCAGCGGAGCGUGUGGUUUAAUUCGAUGCAACGCGAAGAACCUCACCUAGGCUUGACAUGGCUGAAGUAGAACCCUGAAAGGGGAACGACCCGUAAAGUCGGGAGCAGUCACAGGUGCUGCAUGGCUGUCGUCAGCUCGUGCCGUGAGGUGUUGGGUUAAGUCCCGCAACGAGCGCAACCCUCGGCGUUAGUUACCAUGUCUAACGCAACUGCCGGUUUCAAACCGGAGGAAGGUGGGGAUGACGUCAAGUCAGCACGGCCCUUACGCCUAGGGCUACACACACGCUACAAUGGCCGGUACAACGGGACGCCAAAGGGUGACCUGGAGCAAAUCCCAUCAAAGCCGGUCUCAGUUGGGAUUGCAGGCUGCAACUCGCCUGCAUGAACGAGGAGUUGCUAGUAACCGCAGGUCAGCACACUGCGGUGAAUACGUUCCCGGGCCUUGUACACACCGCCCGUCACGUCAUGAAAGUUGGAAACGCCUGAAGUCGGUGGGCCAACCCGCAAGGGAGGCAGCCGCCGAGGGUGGAGCCAGCGAUUGGGACGAAGUCGUAACAAGGUAGCCGUACGGGAACGUGCGGCUG